CCUACGGGAGGCAGCAGUGGGGGAUAUUGCACAAUGGGGGAAACCCUGAUGCAGCGACGCCGCGUGGGCGAUGAAGUAUUUCGGUAUGUAAAGCCCUAUCAGCAGGGAAGAAGAAAUGACGGUACCUGAGUAAGAAGCACCGGCUAAAUACGUGCCAGCAGCCGCGGUAAUACGUAUGGUGCAAGCGUUAUCCGGAUUUACUGGGUGUAAAGGGAGCGCAGGCGGCACGGCAAGCCUGAUGUGAAAGCCCGCGGCCCAACCGAGGGACUGCAUUGGGUACUGGCGGGCUGGAGUGCCGGUGAGGUAGGCGGAAUUCGUGGUGUAGCGGUGAAAUGCGUAGAUAUUAGGAGGAACACCGGUGGCGAAGGCAGCCUACUAGACGGUGACUGACGCUGAGGCUCGAAAGCGUGGGGAGCAAACAGGAUUAGAUACCCCUGUAGUC
rnacentral:rRNA from 1 species